UACAGAGGUGCCAAGCGUUAGGCGGAAUCACUGGGCUUAAAGCGCGUGUAGGUGGACGGGUAAGUAUCUUGUGAAAUCCCACGGCUCAACCGUGGAACUGCUGGAUAUACUGCUUGUCUUGAGGCACUUAGGGGCAGCUGGAACAAAUGGUGGACGCGGUGAAAUGCGUAGAUAUCAUUUGGAACGCCAAAGGCGAAAGCAGGCUGCUGGGAGUGAUCUGACACUGAGACGCGAAAGCCAGGGGAGCAAACGGG
rnacentral:rRNA from 1 species